GACGAACGCUGGCGGCGUGCUUAACACAUGCAAGUCGAACGGAAAGGCCCUGCUUUUGUGGGGUGCUCGAGUGGCGAACGGGUGAGUAACACGUGAGUAAACUGCCCUUGACUUUGGGAUAACUUCAGGAAACUGGGGCUAAUACCGGAUAGGAGCUCCUGCUGCAUGGUGGGGGUUGGAAAGUUUCGGCGGUUGGGGAUGGACUCGCGGCUUAUCAGCUUGUUGGUGGGGUAGUGGCUUACCAAGGCUUUGACGGGUAGCCGGCCUGAGAGGGUGACCGGCGACCAGGGGACUGAGGGAGGGCGCAGACGGCUACGGGAGGCAACAGGGGGAAGUCUGACACAGUAAGCCGGAGCGUGAUGCAGAGGCGCCGGGUGCGGAAUGACGGGCUACUGGGUGUGAACAACUGUCGAAUGUGACGAGGAGUGAGUGACGGUAAUGGGUAAAGAAGCACCGGCUAACUACGUG
rnacentral:rRNA from 1 species